rnacentral:rRNA from 1 species
UUUAUGGAGAGUUUGAUCCUGGCUCAGGAUGAACGCUGGCGGCGUGCCUAAUACAUGCAAGUCGAGCGAACGGACGAGAAGCUUGCUUCUCUGAUGUUAGCGGCGGACGGGUGAGUAACACGUGGAUAACCUACCUAUAAGACUGGGAUAACUUCGGGAAACCGGAGCUAAUACCGGAUAAUAUUUGAACCGCAUGGUUCAAAAGUGAAAGACGGUCUUGCUGUCACUUAUAGAUGGAUCCGCGCUGCAUUAGCUAGUUGGUAAGGUAACGGCUUACCAAGGCAACGAUGCAUAGCCGACCUGAGAGGGUGAUCGGCCA